AGCCAAUACACUCAAUCAACUCUAUUAAUAAAAGCUACAGCGACAUUCUGAGUGUGAACACUACUGUUGUUAAAUGUUUGGCCAAUGCUGAGAAACGUGAAAAGGCAAUAAAUGUAAAUAAAGAGGAUAUAAACUUGACAAAGGAAAAAUAAUUGAUCUUGUAAUCAAUAUUGAUUAGUAAAAUUGUAAUUCGUUGGUGCGAACCUGUUUACUGGUCUAGACCACAUUAUCGGUCCACAUCUGGAACACAUUUAUGAUCAUGUGACUAUUUGCCAUACAAGAAAUUAAGGCCUACUGCUGUUCCUACAAAAAAUUGCAGUUCGAGUCACAAAUCAUCCGACUCUUCGGACAUUUCUAAUUAUUCGAUGGAGGCUGGAAUAGAAAGAAAUGCUUCAUCAGUGGAAUUACGUAAAGCUAAGAAGGAUCAGCGUCUAAAACGACGUAGUUUUGUUACACAAAAUCAAAAACUGUCAGAUUUAUCGAAUAAAGCUGACGUAUCACUCGCUUCUGCUC